GACGAACGCUGGCGGCGUGCUUAACACAUGCAAGUCGAACGGAAAGGCCCUGCUUUUGUGGGGUGCUCGAGUGGCGAACGGGUGAGUAACACGUGAGUAACCUGCCCUUGACUUUGGGAUAACUUCAGGAAACUGGGGCUAAUACCGGAUAGGAGCUCCUGCUGCAUGGUGGGGGUUGGAAAGUUUCGGCGGUUGGGGAUGGACUCGCGGCUUAUCAGCUUGUUGGUGGGGUAGUGGCUUACCAAGGCUUUGACGGGUAGCCGGCCUGGGCGGGUGACCGGCCACAUUGGGACUGAGAGACGGCCCAGACUCCUACGGGAGGCAGCAGUGGGGAAUAUUGCACAAUGGGCGGAAGCCUGAUGCAGCAACGCCGCGUGCGGGAUGAAGGCCUUCGGGUUGUAAACCGCUUUCGCCUGUGACGAAGCGUGAGUGACGGUAAUGGGUAAAGAAGCACCGGCUAACUACGUG
rnacentral:rRNA from 1 species